AAAAUGUCAUUGUUGCUUGUAUAUGGCAGUUGGUUUCAGCCUACUAUUGAGCGAGUGGCUUUAAACUCCAGAGAACCUCAUAUGUGUUUAGUAAGAGAUAUUUCAAACUGCUGGGCCCCCAAAGUAGAAACAGCUAUAACAAAGGUGAGGACACCAGUGAUGAAUUCUGAAGCAAAAGUUCUGGUGCCUGGGAUUCCUGGUCAUCAUGCAGCUAUCAAGCCUGCUCCUCCACAAACCGAGCAAGUAGAGAGCAAGAGGAAAUCAGGGGGAAAUGAGGUUAGCAUUGAAGAACGUCUGGGAGCAAUGGAUAUAGACACACACAAAAAAGGAAAGGAAGAUCUCCAGACGAAUAGCUUUCCUGUUCUUCUUACCCAGGGCUUAGAAAGUAACGAUUUUGAAAUGCUAAAUAAAGUACUUCAAACUAGGAAUGUAAACCUUAUAAAGAAGACUGUAUUAAGGAUGCCCCUGCAUACUGUUAUUCCGUUGUUACAAGAGGUAACUGACUGCUUUUUUCAUUUUAGCGUCCUAAUGCCAUGAAUUAAAUGGAAAAUUCAGUAGUUAGAGAAAUGGAUUUGUAAUACGUAAGGACACAUGGCAUUUAGAGUGAGUCAUGGAUGGAGGAAAGUAC
rnacentral:sRNA from 1 species